CGCAGUGUUUGCAAUGACACCAUCUCACCGAGAGGAAUUCCAGAAAACCAAAGAAAGAAAGAAUUCUCUCCAAGGAACGGUUCUCUCUGACAAGAAUCAAGCUCCUCCAUGUUAAAAAUAAGCCUCAGACAGAACGCGAGCCCCAUUCCAGGUACCAUCCAAGGAGCUUGAAAACCACGACCCCGAAGAUCACCACGUCUUGUGCCGUGGCCCAGGAUGUAACUAGGACCUGACCACAAGGAAAAUGAAGACAAAUGAAAGGGGCGCAUGUCUCUGAGCAAGAGAGAACCACUUUCCUGCGUCUGCGAUGAAAUAUGCAGGCAAGAGAGACAGCACAGGAGUGAAGAAG